UGUGUGUGUGUGUGUGUGUGUUUGUGAAAUACUCACUAUAUUGUUAUUACUCUUAGAGACCUAAUAAUCAUAUGUUCAUAUCCACAGUUCACAAUCCAAAAUUACACAUUUGGCUUUCGGACACAUUUCAAGUUUCUUUUCUACUUCACUUUUAUUUUUUUCUGAUUUCAUCUUUUGCAUCUGUUUUUAAUCUUUAAUAUCUUGAUUUUGCAGAACACAUUUACCGAAUUGAUCUUUGCCCUUAUUUGUUUUUAGUUGAAAUGAAUAUUAAUCAUCACAUUAAUAUUACAUUUUUUUAAUCAACAGAAACAAAAAAAAGAUAAAAAGAAGCAACCAGAUGAAGAACAAAAAAAAAGAUAAAAAGAAGCAACCAGACAAAGACCACCAUGAGAGGACAGGUGAAAGACAACGGGGGAGGUUUUCUCUUAAAAAGCGUCGAUCUUGACUCCUACAGUAUAAGUACAUCUGGUCAGGUGGUAAAAUACAAUCAUCCAAGUACAAAGUAAAUGAUUUGUUUCGACAGAUAUAUAUAUAUUA